GACGAACGCUGGCGGCGUGCUUAACACAUGCAAGUCGAACGGAAAGGUCCUGCUUUUGUGGGGUGCUCGAGUGGCGAACGGGUGAGUAACACGUGAGUAACCUGCCCUUGACUUUGGGAUAACUUCAGGAAACUGGGGCUAAUACCGGAUAGGAGCUCCUGCUGCAUGGUGGGGGUUGGAAAGUUUCGGCGGUUGGGGAUGGACUCGCGGCUUAUCAGCUUGUUGGUGGGGUAGUGGCUUACCAAGGCUUUGACGGGUAGCCGGCCUGAGAGGGUGACCGGCCACAUUGGGACUGAGAUACGGCCCAGACUCCUACGGGAGGCAGCAGUGGGGAAUAUUGCGCAAUGGGCGGAAGCCUGAUGCAGCAACGCCGCGUGCGGGAUGACGGCCUUCGGGUUGUAAACCGCUUUCGCCUGUGACGAAGCGUGAGUGACGGUAAUGGGUAAAGAAGCACCGGCUAACUACGUG
rnacentral:rRNA from 1 species